UACGGAGGGUGCAAACGUUGCUCGGAAUCAUUGGGCGUAAAGCGCACGUAGGCGGACCGCUAAGUCGGUGGUGAAAUCCUGGAGCUCAACUCCAGAACUGCCUUCGAUACUGGGAGUCUCGAGUUCGGGAGAGGUGAGUGGAAUCGUGCGAGUGUAGAGGUGAAAUUCGUAGAUAUUCGCAAGGAACACCAGUGGCGAAGGCGCUGCU
rnacentral:rRNA from 1 species